rnacentral:misc_RNA from 1 species
UUCUGCACGAGGAGAUCAAUGUGAGAAGUGUGGGAAGCUCUUAAAUCCCACCGAAUUGAAGGAUCCAAGAUGCAAGGUUUGCCGUAACACUCCAUGCAUCCGAGAUACAGAUCAUUUGUUUCUUGAGCUCCCUUUGCUGAAGGAUGAAUUAGAAGCAUACGUCAACGACCUGUCAGUGGCUGGAGGAUGGAGUCAGAAUGCUAUCCACACUACACAUGCUUGGCUUAGAGAAGGACUGAAGCCAAGGUGUAUAACUAGAGAUUUGAAAUGGGGGGUUCCAGUUCCACAUGAAAAAUAUAAGGACAAGGUUUUUUACGUGUGGUUUGAUGCUCCUAUUGGAUAUGUAUCUAUAACCUCAUGCUACACAACUGAGUGGGAGAAGUGGUGGAAGAAUCCAGAGAAUGUGGAGCUCUAUCAGUUUAUGGGCAAAGAUAAUGUGCCUUUUCACACUGUGAUUUUCCCAUCUACGCUUCUUGGAACUCGUGAAAACUGGACUCUUAUGAAGACAAUUAGUGUAACAGAAUACUUGAACUAUGAAGCAGGCAAAUUCUCAAAGAGCAAGGGCGUAGGAGUAUUUGGUAAUGAUGCAAAAGAGACAAACAUUCCUGUAGAAGUUUGGAGAUAUUACUUGCUAACAAACAGGCCGGAGGUGUCAGACACUUUGUUUAGUUGGGUGGAUUUACAAGCAAAGCUGAACAGCGAGUUGCUAAACAACUUAGGCAAUUUCGUCAAUAGAGUCCUGAGUUUCAUUGCAAAAGAUCCGGCUUCAGGUUAUGGUUCCAUAAUUCCCAAUCCAGAAGGAGCUGAAUCACACCCUUUAACUAAGGCCUUAGGUGAAAAAGUUGGAAAUUAUGUGGAAGAAUACAUAGAAGCCAUGGAGAAGGUUAAAUUAAAGCAGGGCUUGAAGAUUGCUAUGUCUAUUUCUGGAGAAGGAAACGGUUAUUUGCAAGAGAGCCAAUUCUGGAGACUUUACAAGGAAGAUAGGCCUUCUUGUUCCAUUGUGAUGAGCACUGCUUCCGGCCUAGUAUAUCUUCUUGCAUGUCUUUUAGAGCCAUUUAUGCCAUCCUUUUCACGGGAAGUGCUUAAGCAGCUUAACUUUCCUCCUGAAACAAAACCUUCACUGUCUGAUGACAGAGGUGACAUAGAAAAGAGCAAAAGACCAUGGAAUAUCCUACCUGCAGGUCACAAAAUUGGAAUACCAACACCAUUGUUCAAAGAACUGAAAGAUGAAGAAGUUGAAUUCUACAGAGAAAAGUUUGCUGGAAGUCAGGCAGAUAGGAAUUUGAAGGCUGAAACUGAGGCAAGGAAGAUCACUGAUCAGUUGCACAAAGCAAAAAUAUCAGAUGCUAAUAAGAAGAAAGAACGUGCUACAAAAUCUUCUGAAGCCAAAGCUAAGGGUUCAGCCUCUGUUGAAGCAGAAAUUUCGAUUAGCAGACUUGAUAUUCGUGUUGGUCUCAUUACAAGAGCACAGAAGCAUCCCGAUGCUGAUUCUUUGUAUGUUGAAGAGAUUGAUGUUGGUGAAGCUCAGCCCAGAACUGUCGUUAGUGGCCUCGUAAAAUAUAUUCCUCUGGAGGAAAUGCAGAAUCGAAAGGUCUGUGUUCUAUGCAACCUAAAACCAGCCAGCAUGAGGGGCAUAAAAUCCCAGGCAAUGGUUCUUGCUGCUUCUAAUAGUGAUCACACUAAGGUUGAACUAGUUGAGCCACCUAAAGAUGCUGCAAUUGGUGAACGAGUUAUGUUCCCUGGGUUAGAUGGCAAGGCGGAUGAUGUCUUGAAUCCUAAGAAGAAGGUUUGGGAAACUCUUCAGGUGGAUCUGCACACAAAUAAGGAGUUGGUUGCUUGCUAUAAAGAUUUGCCACUCACCACUUCUGUUGGUGUUUGCAAGGUCACAUCCAUUUCUGAAGGAUCGAUUAGGUAAAUUUUUUCUUUGGCGGAUGAACUAGAGAGGGGAUUUAAGGAUUUUGUUUUAAUUCUUUUCACAUUUUUCAUUUCUACACAAUGUUAUACAAUCAAACUUUCCACUAUGAUUGAGUGGAGUUGGAAGGGAAAUGAGUAUUUGAAGUGUUCUUGUCUCUUGCUAUGUGUCUG